ACAUCAUAUACACAUCAAAAAUGUUCACUCAGAAAUUGCUAGUAAAUUUCACAAAUAAUUAUGAAGAAAUUGAACCCAUUGAACUAAAUCUGACAUUGUAAAGUAGAAUAGUAUUUAUUGUAUUUUCUUUUUUGCUACAACUUUGAAAAAAUAUAACUACUUUCUUAUGAAGUGACAUGAUCAAGUUAUCAGUCAGUAUAGGGAAGCUGUGGUCCUUUUGAAAGCGGCACCGUGGCUUGGCUGACAUUUGACAAACCUGUGUGGAGUUGACAGCAUUGGUCUGUGGUCUACCUUAUUUGAAGCAAGGCUGCUUACAGCACAAAAAAAGACACCAACAAAAAUGGAAAACAGACAGCAAAUGGACCUUCCGACCCCCAUUCACACUGGAGCCAGUGAAGUGUGUCA
ensembl:lncRNA